AUCGUGGGUACUAUAAAAUGGAAAGGGCACUCCUUCUGAGAGUUCUUUUCGUACGAGCUCACCUCGAGUUGGUUCACGAGAUGCUGCAUACAAUGGAUAUGCUCCUGGGCGAGAUCCACGAUUACCAGACCUGUGGGAUGUCCCCUGAUGGAUGACCAGCUAUCCAGUCUUAAGGAUGAAUAUCUACUGAAAACUCCGUUGCCAUGGCCCUGGCAUACGUAACGAGGCGAGGAACUUGCCAUGAGUGUUAGCCACUCGCCAAACUGGAGCAUGUUCUGAAUACAAGACCUGUGGGAUGUCCCCUGAUGGAUGACAACUAUCCAGUCUUAAGGAUGAAUAUCUACUGAGAACUCCGUUGCUAUUUCCCUGGCAUACGUAAUGAGGCGAGUAACUUGCCACAAGGGUGUCUGACUCUCGCCAAAUUGGAGCACGUUUUGAAUACAAGGAUUGUUGGUGCAUAGGAUGUUCCUAUGGCUGUCUUGGAAUGUGCAGUAUAGCAGGCCUCAAGGUAUGGGACCUUUGGUGAUUUCCCUUUCGAGGCCGUGGGUUCAUUUCAAGAAGUUACUGAAGCCACACCCCAACUAAAAUAAAUAUAUUUGGACUUUAAA